rnacentral:rRNA from 1 species
UACGUAGGGUGCGAGCGUUAAUCGGAAUUACUGGGCGUAAAGCGUGCGCAGGCGGUUCGCCAAGUCAGGUGUGAAAUCCCCGGGCUUAACCUGGGAAUUGCGCUUGAAACUAGCGGGCUUGAGUGUGGCAGAGGGGGGUGGAAUUCCACGGUGUAGCAGUGAAAUGCGUAGAGAUGUGGAGGAACACCGAUGGCGAAAGCACUUGUCUGGACGGAGACUGACGCUGAGAUACGAAAGCCAAGGGAGCGAACAGG